rnacentral:rRNA from 1 species
UUGAGCUUGACUCUAAUCUGGUAGUGUAAGGAGACAUAAGAGGUGUAGCAUAAGUGGGAGAUAUUUAGUUUUUUAGCUAUUUAUCAAAAAUGAAAUACCACUACUCUUAUUGUUUCCUUACUUACUCGAUGAAAUGGAACGUGUGUCAUUUACUUAGCCAUUAUACAAAUUUAUUUUAUAUAUAUUUUAUGGUAUUUUGUUGUGAUGCAAGCUUCUUGAUCAAAGUACCCAAAGAGUUUGUUAUACACACCAAACAAAUUAAAAUGAAAUAAUAUUAAACUAUAUUUUUUAUAAUAAUUUAAUAUUAAAGUAAUUAAAUUUGGUAUAACUCUUUUACACUCUGGUAUGAUCCAAUUCGAGGACAUCACCAGGUAGGGAGUUUGACUGGGGCGGUACAUCUCUCAAACAAUAACGGAGGUGUCCCAAGGCCAGCUCAGUGCGGACAGAAACCACACAUAGAGCAAAAGGGCACAUGCUGACUUGAUCUCGGUGUUCAGUACACACAGAGACGGCAAAAGCUUGGCCUAUCGAUCCUUUUGGGUUAACGAGUUUUUAACAAGAGGUGUCAGAAAAGUUACCACAGGG